GGCUGUGGCUUAGUUGGUUAAAGUAGUCUAGUAAACAGGAGAUCCUAAGUUCGGAAUCUUAGCAGUGCCU